UACGGGGGGGGCAAGCGUUGUUCGGAAUUACUGGGCGUAAAGGGCACGUAGGUGGCCCGGUCAGUCUUUGGUGAAAGCGCGGGGCUCAACCCUGCGUCGGCCAGGGAUACUGCCGCGGCUCGAGCACUGUAGAGGCAGGCGGAAUUCCGGGUGUAGCGGUGGAAUGCGUAGAGAUCCGGAAGAACACCGGUGGCGAAGGCGGCCUGCUGGGCAGUUUGGCUGACACUGAGGCGCGACAGCGUGGGGAGCAAACAGG
rnacentral:rRNA from 1 species